rnacentral:rRNA from 1 species
CCUACGGGAGGCAGCAGUGGGGAAUAUUGCACAAUGGGGGAAACCCUGAUGCAGCGACGCCGCGUGAGUGAAGAAGUAUUUCGGUAUGUAAAGCUCUAUCAGCAGGAACGAGACAAGACGGUACCUGACUAAGAAGCCCCGGCUAACUACGUGCCAGCAGCCGCGGUAAUACGUAGGGGGCAAGCGUUAUCCGGAAUCACUGGGUGUAAAGGGAGCGUAGACGGUUGUGCAAGCCUGAAGUGAAAGGGGGGGGCCCAACCCCUGGACUGCUUUGGAAACUGUACGGCUGGAGUGCAGGAGAGGUAAGUGGAAUUCGUGGUGUAGCGGUGAAAUGCGUAGAUAUUAGGAGGAACACCGGUGGCGAAGGCGACUUACUGGACUGUAACUGACGUUGAGGCUCGAAAGCGUGGGGAGCAAACAGGAUUAGAUACCCUAGUAGUC